GACGAACGCUGGCGGCGUGCUUAACACAUGCAAGUCGAACGGAAAGGCCCUGCUGUUGUGGGGUGCUCGAGUGGCGAACGGGUGAGUAACACGUGAGUAACCUGCCCUUGACUUUGGGAUAACUGCAGGAAACUGGGGCUAAUACCGGAUAGGAGCUCCUGCUGCAUGGUGGGGGUUGGAAAGUUUCGGCGGUUGGGGAUGGACUCGCGGCUUAUCAGCUUGUUGGUGGGGUAGUGGCUUACCAAGGCUUUGACGGGUAGCCGGCCUGAGAGGGUGACCGGCCACAUUGGGACUGAGAUACGGCCCAGACUCCUACGGGAGGCAGCAGUGGGGAAUAUUGCACAAUGGGCGGAAGCCUGAUGCAGCAACGCCGCGUGCUGGAUGACGGCCUUCGGGUUGUAAACCGCUUUCGCCUGUGACGAAGCGUGAGUGACGGUAAUGUGUAAAGAAGCAACGGCUAACUACGUG
rnacentral:rRNA from 1 species